UACGGAGGGGGCGAGCGUUAUUCGGAAUUACUGGGCGUAAAGGGCUCGUAGGCGGCCAACUAAGUCGGAUGUGAAAUCCCCAGGCUUAACCUGGGAACUGCAUCCGAUACUGGAUGGCUUGAAUCCGGGAGAGGGAUGCAGAAUUCCAGGUGUAGCGGUGAAAUGCGUAGAUAUCUGGAGGAAUACCGGUGGCGAAGGCGGCAUCCUGGACCGGCAUUGACGCUGAUGAGCGAAAGCCAGGGGAGCAAACGGG
rnacentral:rRNA from 1 species